GACGAACGCUGGCGGCGUGCUUAACACAUGCAAGUCGAACGGAAAGGCCCCUUCGGGGGUCCUCGAGUGGCGAACGGGUGAGUAACACGUGAGUAACCUGCCCUUGACUUCGGGAUAACUUCAGGAAACUGGGGCUAAUACCGGAUAGGAAUCCUUGCUGCAUGGUGGGGGUUGGAAAGCUUCGGCGGUUUUGGAUGGACUCGCGGCUUAUCGGCUUGUUGGUGGGGUAGUGGCUUACCAAGGCUUUGACGGGUAGCCGGCCUGAGAGGGCGACCGGCCACAUUGGGACUGAGAGACGGCCCAGACGCCUACGGGAGGCAGCAGUGGGGAAUAUUGCACAAGGGGCGGAAGCCGGAUGCAGCAACGCCGCGGGCGGGAUGACGGCCUUCGGGUUGGAAACCGAUUUCAGCAGGGGCGAAGCUUGUGGUGACGGUACCUGCAGAAGAAGCACCGGCUAACUACGUG
rnacentral:rRNA from 1 species